UUACUCUCUAAUGCCCCUGACACGAGAUAGAUACUCAAUAAAUGGUCCUAUGAGUGAAUGAAUGUGUGAAUGAAUGAAUGAGCUGGUGGCAGGGUGAGAAAAGGAAACAGAUGUGUCUAUUAAGGGAAAACCUGCCUUGUGAUUGGUGCCUCUCAAGGCCUCAUUCAGGAUGUCUUCUCCGGAAGUUGGCUUUAGGGUGCUGCCUCUCCCGCUUUUGCCCCUUGGUGCUAAGUAAGAAGUUCCUCGAUGACGCUGUGCCGUCUGCCUGGCCUCUUCCAAGGAUUGCUUCAUUGGCUGCUGGCUCCUGGCUUUUCUGCUCUUGGCACCAAGUAGCUAUGAAGACUCUGAGACCUGGACCAUCCCAAGGCUGUAGCUUUCUUUCUUCAAGUCUGGCAGGCUCUGUCGCUGUGAAGAGUCUGAAGGCUUUUUCUUUUCCAGAUGUAAUUACUAACCAACAUUCACAUCAGAUUCGCAAUUGGAAAGCCAGCUGUUAAACACUUACCAGCUCACUACUGGAAAGAAGUAUAUAUGGACUACUCCCUUGGGAUUCCAGAAGAAAGAACGUUAUAAAACACCUACAACUUGGCAAUCAGGGGCCUGAGGUACAGCUGAAGUACACCUGUGGAACAGGAGAUGCUAAUUCCUGGGAAGAGAGCAACACAGAUUUUACAGUCAGCAGCCAGAGGUUACCCUCAGAACAAGAAUGUGAAAAAUAAACCAGAUAUGCUAAACUGAAAUCUACCACUGGACACCAACAAGGUUAAAUGGUAGAAAAGCCAUAAUCACUUCUAAAUUCAAGGGUAGGAUUAAUACUAUAUUUUCACAGUACCUGAAAGUUCUGUGGCCUUUCCUAGACACCACUUCAUGUGAUUGCCGGAACAGAACUGAGGUUGAGGGGAAAGUUAGGUAUCAGCAUUGGGCCCAUUUUACAGAUGGGAAACUGAGACAGUGGAAGGCAAAAUGGUUUGCCCAAGGUUACUUUUUCUGCAUAAAUGGCUACCCUGGGACUAGAUGGGGACAGAACUCCACAGACUUGGGGGUCAGACAUACUUUGGUUAAAAACUCAACCUUGACAUUUAUGUAACAUUGGUAACGUUACUUUACCUUUUUAAGCCUUGGGUUUUUUGUUUGUUUGUUUAAACUUACAAAAUGGGGAUGAUAAAGCCUAGAUCCCAAGUUUGCAGUGAGGGUUAGUUUAAGAUGAUGACAGAUGCAAAGGACUUGAUGAUUGGGAAGCCUUUGCACCUCCUAUCAUGUAUUACAUUACUUAUAUUUGAUUUUGAAAUACAGUAUAAGACUCUUUUGGCUAACGUAUUUACUUUUCUAAUUAUAUUUGUUGGGUUUAGGUAAAUUACUCUGCAUGGCCUUAGGCCAAACCAAUUUGAGGGGGUGGGGGCAGGGGCAGGGAAGAAGGAGAAGGGAAGACGUGAGUCAGAAGAGGAAAUCUGGUUAUGAUUCUGUGAAGGUGGAGGUGGACCUGGAGCAUUUGGACAGGGGAAAUAAUUAAAAUUUUGUAAAGGGCUCCUUCACUCACUGAUAAUUGGAGAUAAUCUGUAUACACUAUCAUGUUCAACAAGGCCAUUUCACGCAACAGAAGCUGGAGCUCCAGAUGGACUGCCUCUGCCUAGACUUAUGGCUCCACAUCACCACCAGCAGAAAUGAGAAGGCUUGGAGACCUCUGUGUCCCCAAACCCUCACAGCCUCACCAGCACUCUCUGCCUUGGAACAAAACCCAACUCCAUGAAAAACUGAGGCCUCAGGUCAUCCCUCAGCUGCCAGGGCAGGGAGGCAGCCAUCCCCCUACUUCCCAGAGUGCUCACUCCUCCUUCUGGAUGGGCCUUUCUUCUUAGAGCUUGUCAGCACUAGGCAUGCUAUUAAUUCACUAGACUGUAAUCUCUGUGAGGGCAGGGGUUUUUAUUUCAUGUGGGACCUAGAACAGUGCUAGAGACACAAAAGGCUCUCAAUAAAUAGUGGCUCAAAGAAGAGUGUAAAAUGAGUCAUCCUCAUCUUUUGUUUUCUCUUUCAAAUAACAAUCCAUUCUUUGAUCAAGCUCAACAGGUUCAGAUUUGGCUCAGGGCUCACAAGGGUAAACCGAGGAGGUAAGGGUGUUGUUGAAGGUUUGAGGGGUGCUCACUGCAAAAACAGGCAUCUCUGAGGAUGGGCCAUGGACCAGCCGACAUGGACUGAAUGAGGCAAUGGAGCUCAGUAGUUAAGAAUGUGGUGGUUCAAAUCCAGGCCCCACCAUUUAUUAGCUAUGUAACCUUGGGCAAGUUACUUUAUCUCUCUGAGUCUCAUUUUCCUUAUCUGUAAAAUGUGGAUAAAAAUAUCCACCUCUUAAAGUUGUAGUGCAGGUUAACGAGAUAAAGCAUGGCGAGUGCUUAGCACGGAGCCUGGCGUGGGAAAAGGAGCCAAUAUUCAUGGC
rnacentral:lncRNA from 1 species